UUAAUGUUUUUGAUUAUUUACAAAUAUGCUAUUACUCUAGAGUCUCAGCCUCUCUCCUCUCAGCCUCUCUCUCGUCUUCAUCGAUCUCAGGCUCUCUCUUGAGUUUUGUGUUUCUUUGUUGAUACUUAGAUUCUGCAAGUGUGAGAUGACUGGUGGUCCUCCUGCAAAUGUCUACGAGUGUCAAUUGUCUCUGUUCUGAGUGCUGAGUUCUCCAGCUUGCUGAGACUACAGUUGUUGAGUUCUGAUUAGAUGUUUCUAAUCAGAGGAGAAAAAGCGGUGGUGAUGGCUGCGUUUACGUCUGCAGAACAUGCUGUUACCAUUGGGAAAAAAAAAGAGAGAAACCAUGUCAGAAAACAGAACAAUCUUCUCAGAAAAUCGGUUGCAUCUCCAGAAAGCAAAUGCGUAAAAGAGCCCCUAAAGAAUUGUGAUUAGCUGUGUGUAUGUAAAAUUAAUGAUUUUUUUUUUAAGACUUGUUGUAAUAUUUGUUUUAUCAACCAACUUAAUUUCAUGUUUCUUUUAUCUAUAAAACAUAUUUGCCUUAUUUGUUUGAAGUGAUAAUUUUGAAAAUUAAAUAUAUGAUUUUAUCAUA